rnacentral:rRNA from 1 species
AAAUUGAAGAGUUUGAUCAUGGCUCAGAUUGAACGCUGGCGGCAGGCCUAACACAUGCAAGUCGAACGGUAACAGGAAGCAGCUUGCUGCUUCGCUGACGAGUGGCGGACGGGUGAGUAAUGUCUGGGAAACUGCCUGAUGGAGGGGAUAACUACUGGAAACGGUGGCUAAUACCGCAUAACGUCGCAAGACCAAAGAGGGGGACCUUCGGGCCUCUUGCCAUCAGAUGUGCCCAGAUGGGAUUAGCUUGUUGGUGAGGUAACGGCUCACCAAGGCGACGAUCCCUAGCUGGUCUGAGAGGAUGACCAGCCACACUGGAACUGAGACACGGUCCAGACUCCUACGGGAGGCAGCAGUGGGGAAUAUUGCACAAUGGGCGCAAGCCUGAUGCAGCCAUGCCGCGUGUAUGAAGAAGGCCUUCGGGUUGUAAAGUACUUUCAGCGGGGAGGAAGGUGUUGUGGUUAAUAACCGCAGCAAUUGACGUUACCCGCAGAAGAAGCACCGGCUAACUCCGUGCCAGCAGCCGCGGUAAUACGGAGGGUGCAAGCGUUAAUCGGAAUUACUGGGCGUAAAGCGCACGCAGGCGGUCUGUCAAGUCGGAUGUGAAAUCCCCGGGCUCAACCGGGAACUGCAUUCGAAACUGGCAGGCUUGAGUCUUGUAGAGGGGGUAAAAUUUCCCGGUGUAGCGGUGAAAUGCGUAGAGAUCUGGAGGAAUACCGGUGGCGAAGGCGGCCCCCUGGACAAAGACUGACGCUCAGGUGCGAAAGCGUGGGGAGCAAACAGGAUUAGAUACCCUGGUAGUCCACGCCGUAAACGAUGUCUACUUGGAGGUUGUGCCCUUGAGGCGUGGCUUCCGGAGCUAACGCGUUAAGUAGACCGCACAGGGAGUACGGCCGCAAGGUUAAAACUCAAAUGAAUUGACGGGGGCCCGCACAAGCGGUGGAGCAUGUGGUUUAAUUCGAUGCAACGCGAAGAACCUUACACGGUCUUGACAUCCACAGAACUUUCCAGAGAUGGAUUGGUGCCUUCGGGAACUGUGAGACAGGUGCUGCAUGGCUGUCGUCAGCUCGUGUUGUGAAAUGUUGGGUUAAGUCCCGCAACGAGCGCAACCCUUAUCCUUUGUUGCCAGCGGUUAGGCCGGGAACUCAAAGGAGACUGCCAGUGAUAAACUGGAGGAAGGUGGGGAUGACGUCAAGUCAUCAUGGCCCUUACGACCGGGCUACACACGUGCUACAAUGGCGCAUACAAAGAGAAGCGACCUCGCGAGAGCAAGCGGACCUCAUAAAGUGCGUCGUAGUCCGGAUUGGAGUCUGCAACUCGACUCCAUGAAGUCGGAAUCGCUAGUAAUCGUGGAUCAGAAUGCCACGGUGAAUACGUUCCCGGGCCUUGUACACACCGCCCGUCACACCAUGGGAGUGGGUUGCAAAAGAAGUAGGUAGCUUAACCUUCGGGAGGGCGCUUACCACUUUGUGAUUCAUGACUGGGGUGAAGUCGUAACAAGGUAACCGUAGGGGAACCUGCGGUUGGAUCACCUCCUUACCUUAAAGAAGC